GCCAACUUUCCCGAUUUAGGCGGGAUCUUCCCGAUUUUACCCUCCGGUCCCGCUUUCCCGAUCGGGAAAGCAAAAUUACCCUAAAAUCCCGAUUUGAAAUUUUUUCCGACCAAAAUUUCCGAUUUCACGAUUGAAAACGAGUUUGAAAGCGGAAUAAUCGUGAAAUCUCGUGACCAGAAUUGGAAAUCCCGCGUCAUUUCUGAACUGGCCAAUCAGAAAUCGGGACAAUAGUCAGCCAUUGCUGUUUACCUGUGUCGCAUGGUGUCGGGUUGGUCUGACUGUGUCGGGGUGUUUAUUGGACAGUACGAAGCAUGUUUUGAUAGUAAUUAAUCGGGAAGACGGAUUUCAAAUUGACCUAUCCUUUACACAAACGUGAAUGACAACGAUGCUAGUGUCACCACCAAACAAUCGGACAUUCCGCCUCUCGCUGACAGCAUCCAAAAUUUGCAAUAAGAUGUCAUGGGUGCAAAGGUUUUGUUCGCAAACUUCAUAGCAGGACAGAUCACUCCUUUUUUGGUUGCAAUGCAGAUUAUUCCACCAGUCUCUGCAAGCCCAUGUUUACAAACAAGCAAGAUUGCCUUUGCAGUCGUACCUAAAUGCAUGUGCUUUAAUUUAAAUUUUGAUAUAUAGACCGGCCAAUGUUUAUUGUAUGGUGUAAAAGGAUGCAACCUUAAAUAUUAUUUGAUAUUAUGUAUGUGACUUGUUGGAGAAGAUUUUUUGCUGAAUAGAUGAUUUUAAUAAAAUAUUAAUGUAUA